rnacentral:rRNA from 1 species
UACGUAGGGUGCAAGCGUUGUCCGGAAUUAUUGGGCGUAAAGAGCUCGUAGGCGGCUUGUCACGUCGGGUGUGAAAGCUCGGGGCUUAACCCCGGGUCUGCAUUCGAUACGGGCUGGCUGGAGUGUGGUAGGGGAGAUCGGAAUUCCUGGUGUAGCGGUGAAAUGCGCAGAUAUCAGGAGGAACACCGGUGGCGAAGGCGGAUCUCUGGGCCAUUACUGACGCUGAGGAGCGAAAGCAGUGGGGAGCGAACAGG